rnacentral:lncRNA from 10 species
GCGGGACGAAGGGGCCGGAGCGCCCCGGACUGACUUAGCGGUUCUGAACUUGGGGCGGUCGCUGUGCCGGGCCAAGUGGCUGAGGAAGUUCCUCCCCUCGUCUAACCCUCUCAUUUUCUGGCUGGGGAAGUCGCCCAUCGCGCCGAGGAGUGCCCUUUGUCCCCUUACAGAAACACCUCUGCGCCCCAAGUGGGGACUCGGGCCGGGACCCCUCACCCGGUCCGCAGCGCUGUAGUUCCUGUGGCUAGCCCAGUCCUUCCACGUCCCUACCCGCACCCGGCGCGCCCACGUCAGGGGUUUUCAGCGUCCUUAGACCCUGCUCCGUCUGGCUGUCAUUUCUAGGGCGCGCACGAUGCGGGUCGAAAAGGAACCCAGUUUUCAGUGUGCCUUGUUGCCCAGGCCAAGGACUCAGCGGACCUCGCCUCUCCCUUUUCUGUAAUUGUAACACUGCCCCAGGUCUCCCUAUUCCUCCUUCUCCCUAUUCCUCCUUCCAGCCUGGAAGCCUCGCGGCCCUCCAGAUGGACUCGGAGCGCCCCUGGAGGCUACAGUGACCUAAGCUCUAGGAAGGCCGGGUCCUGGACGCCGCGUGCUGCUGUCCGCCGCCGACCGGUGUCCUCGCAGAGAUAACCUGGCUGAACUCACCGCCCAGCGCUAUGUCAGUUCUCCCUCAUGACAACCCAAAACUUGACCGGAUUUGUGUUCUGCAGAGAGGAAAAAAAAAAGCGGCCACCGAACACCAGUGCAGUAGCCAGGAUGGGCCUGUGGCUCUGGCUGCAGCCUCCAGGGACACCAGCUGGAGAGAAGGAAGCCACGCAUGGAGAGCGGCCAGGUGGGUAGAAAAGAGCCGGGCAGAUGCAAGAGUCCCGGGCUCCACCUCACCCCUGCGCUUUCUGAACGCUGGUUCUGGGGACAGCACAUUCCCUUUUGCUAACUUGGAAUGAGAUUUCUAUUUUCUAUAACCAAUGAGUCUUGACUAGUGCACUCCCCCCUGUUCUUAAGAGGACAAGAACCAAGACUUAUCUUUAUUGCUCAUCUGUCACCCAAAAGAGGCCAUCACAGAACCAAACACAGUAAUAUCCAGGAAAUGCUGAGGUUAAUUGCCAUUCAUUCAUUCAUUCAGCAAAUACUUAUUGUGAUCUACUCUGUCCCCAGCACUGCUGUAGACCCCGGGGAUUAGCAGUGACUGAAAGCAGAUGAAUAGCAGGAGUUAAGUUAAAAGCAGAGAAGGGGAGGCAGCACUGAGGACUUUACAGGCUGCAGGAAGGGUUUAGGCUUUCAAUCUGAGAGGUGAAGGGCAACACUGGAGAAUUCUGAUCAGAGGAGACACGGGUAAGCAGGCUCUUACAAUCCCAGUGAGGCAAGACGGUGCUUGGACAUGAUGGACAGCAGUGGGGCACGAGAACCAGUGAGGUUCUGGAUGCAUCUUAAAGGUAUGGUUUGGGAGAUUUUCUGACUCAUUGGAUGUGGAGAAAAAGAGGAUUUGCAAUAUACCGAGUCACACUAUUCUCAUGCUGCUGGUUAACUCUCCAUUGUGACUUCUGUAAUUUCAGGAUGUCACUCUUUAGUUUCAUUGUAAUGAACUAAUCAUAUGCCAUAAUCUCUAUAUGCACACAGUGAAAGCUCAACAGACAUCAGUUUCCUUCCCUGCAUCCUCAGGAGAUGCAUGUGCACUUACCUUCCUCCCCAGAAUACUUAUUAGAGCAACUUUCUUAGGGGUACAUUUCAGAGUGAAGCACAAUGCAAAAUUACUUCCAAUUUUAGAGUUUCAGAACCCUCAACCAUGGGCUGUUUGAUAUUAAAUGAAAUUACUGACACU